CAACAUAUAUCUUUGACAUCAUGUUGAGUUAUAAUGAAGUAAAAAAGUUCAAUAUAAAUAGGUCCCCUUAUCUAGGCACACAAGGCCAAUUUAUAUUGAUGCAUUACCUCGGAAGUUGAAUGGAUAAUAAAUAAGUAAUUUUAUUUUCACAUUAAUAAUAUUUGGAAAUUUGUUGGAUAACAUCACAUGAGGUGCGAAGGAACAAACUAUUUUUCCCAAUCCGAUGGUCUGGAUUCCUGAUAUUUUACGACUCUUUUUCCAAAAGUUAUGAUUUAUUUUGUAUAUGGCAUAUUAAUAAUUUCAAAAUGGAAUAGAAUGAAACAAAAUUACGAAAUGUCAUAAACUUGAAG
rnacentral:lncRNA from 1 species